GAACGCUGGCGGCGCGCCUAACACAUGCAAGUCGAACGGCACCCCUCUCCGGAGGGAAGCGAGUGGCGAACGGCUGAGUAACACGUGGAGAACCUGCCCCCUCCCCCGGGAUAGCCGCCCGAAAGGACGGGUAAUACCGGAUACCCCCGGGCGCCGCAUGGCGCCCGGGCUAAAGCCCCGACGGGAGGGGAUGGCUCCGCGGCCCAUCAGGUAGACGGCGGGGUGACGGCCCACCGUGCCGACAACGGGUAGCCGGGUUGAGAGACCGACCGGCCAGAUUGGGACUGAGACACGGCCCAGACUCCUACGGGAGGCAGCAGUGGGGAAUCUUGCGCAAUGGGGGGAACCCUGACGCAGCGACGCCGCGUGCGGGACGGAGGCCUUCGGGUCGUAAACCGCUUUCAGCAGGGAAGAGUCAAGACUGUACCUGCAGAAGAAGCCCCGGCUAACUACGUGCCAGCAGCCGCGGUAAUACGUAGGGGGCGAGCGUUAUCCGGAUUCAUUGGGCGUAAAGCGCGCGUAGGCGGCCCGGCAGGCCGGGGGUCGAAGCGGGGGGCUCAACCCCCCGAAGCCCCCGGAACCUCCGCGGCUUGGGUGCGGUAGGGGAGGGUGGAACGCAUCGGUGUAGCGGUGGAAUGCGCAGAUUUCGGGGGGAACACCGGUGGCGAAGGCGGCCCUUUGGGCCGAGACCGACGUUGAGGCGCGAAAGCGGGGGAGCGAACAGGAUUAGAUACCCUGGUAGUCCCAGCCGUAAACGAUGGACGCUAGGUGUGGGGGGACGAUCCCCCCGUGCCGCAGCCAACGCAUUAAGCGUCCCGCCUGGGGGAGUACGGCCGCAAGGCUAAAACUCAAAGGAAUUGACGGGGGCCCGCACAAGCAGCGGAGCAUGUGGCUUAAUUCGAAGCAACGCGAAGAACCUUACCAGGGCUUGACAUAUGGGUGAAGCGGGGGAGACCCCGUGGCCGAGAGGAGCCCAUACAGGUGGUGCAUGGCUGUCGUCAGCUCGUGUCGUGAGAUGUUGGGUUAAGUCCCGCAACGAGCGCAACCCCCGCCGCGUGUUGCCAUCGGGUGAUGCCGGGAACCCACGCGGGACCGACGCCGUCAAGGCGGAGGAGGGCGGGGACGACGUCAAGUCAUCAUGCCCCUUAUGCCCUGGGCUGCACACGUGCUACAAUGGCCGGUACAGAGGGAUGCCACCCCGCGAGGGGGAGCGGAUCCCGGAAAGCCGGCCCCAGUUCGGAUUGGGGGCUGCAACCCGCCCCCAUGAAGUCGGAGUUGCUAGUAAUCGCGGAUCAGCAUGCCGCGGUGAAUGCGUUCCCGGGCCUUGUACACACCGCCCGUCACACCACCCGAGUCGUCUGCACCCGAAGUCGCCGGCCCAACCGAGAGGGGGGAGGCGCCGAAGGUGUGG
rnacentral:rRNA from 1 species